rnacentral:rRNA from 1 species
CGCGUAACUGAAAUGAUUGGACUUUAUUUGCGCAGUAUAGGUGGGAGGCGUUGAGAAUAUUCUUGCGGGAAUAUUGGAGUCAUCAGUGAGAUACCACUCUUGUAAUGUUAGAUUUCUAACUUUGUAUCAUUAUCUGGUCAAAGGACAGUUUCAGGCGGGCAGUUUGACUGGGGCGGUCGCCUCCUAAACGGUAACGGAGGCGCACAAAGGUUUCCUCUGAACGGGUAGAAAUCGUAUCUAGAGUGUAAAGGCAUAAGGAAGCUUGACUGUGAGACCUACAAGUCGAGCAGGGACGAAAGUCGGUCUUAGUGAUCUGACGGUGCUGAGUGGAAAGGCCGUCACUCAACGGAUAAAAGUUACUCUAGGGAUAACAGGCUGA